UCUGAUUCCAAGUGAGGAAGAAACCUCAAGCAGACCAGACUCAGAGGGGUGACCCAUUGCUUAGGCCAUUCUAAUAGUUACAAGGUUCUUACAGAUUGUUGCAUGAGUUUCUUUACAAACAGAAGAGCAACAAAAACAGAGUCCUUAAUUGAAAAUAAAGUAGAGUCCAUCUUGGGUUUCUAAUACAUAGGCGCCUAAGUCCAGCACCGGUAGGCUGCAGGGCAGGACCUCCAGCCAGUGGUGCAACAGGCGUGGCAUCCCGAGGUCAGUUGGUCACCCUGGGGUGCAAGGCCAGGAUCAGUCAUUGGUGUUGUCAAUGCCUUAGACAGAGGGAAAAAGGGCAGAAUCAGUCGGCCGCAAAUAACCGCACCUGAGGCAUUAAUUCACCAGCAGUAAAUCAUCAGGGAAGCAAAGAGAUUGCUAAAGUG